rnacentral:tRNA from 1 species
GGGGAUUUAGCUCAGUUGGUAGAGUAUUUGCCUUGCAUGCACAAGGCCCUGGUUUCAAUCCCCAGCACCACA